UUUAUUUCACACCAUGUAUUCUUGACGGGACGCUCUUUCGGCAGAUAUAUUUUUAGUGAAGUUUCGUAGAGGAGACGUAUAUCGAAAAGGAGACGUAUAUCGAAAAUGUUGUGAACGAAGCUGAAAUUGGCAUUUUUAUGCACCUAAUUUCAAGCCGAAUUAUCGCCAGAGCAUGCAGCGUUUUCGGCCAGCACGAAGGCGGCAACAUAUAGAGGGUUGCUGCACUGUAUAUUUGUAAUCAUCGCUGACUGGCUGUUGGAAUAGUAUUUGAUGUGUGCACGUGUAUGGAUCCGUCCCUUCCUCAUGUUAACGUCUCAAUCAAGCAUCGUCAUCAAAACUUUGCACAGAAGAGUGUUUGUCAGCGGUGUCGGUCAUCCUCUGGGAUCCCCUUUCUGUUAUUACUGAAGCUCAAUUCCCAAUACAUGAACUGCUUUCCACAAUGCGCAACAUGCAACACCUGCGAUGAGCUGCAAUCGCGACAGACGAUUCACAAUCUGUUUUGUUUCUGCGGCAUCUAAGUGCAGUGCGUAGUACCCUCACGUGCAACCAGCCUAGUG